CAAAGUUGGUAAGAUAUUGUUUGGUGAGUUUCUACAGUUUGGUCGAAGUCGAGACAACAGAAAAGUGUUAAAUUUGCUAACGUUAGUGUCGUUGGAAUGCG